UACGAAGGGGCUAGCGUUGCUCGGAAUCACUGGGCGUAAAGCGCACGUAGGCGGAUUGUUAAGUCAGGGGUGAAAUCCUGGAGCUCAACUCCAGAACUGCCUUUGAUACUGGCGAUCUUGAGUCCGGGAGAGGUGAGUGGAACUGCGAGUGUAGAGGUGAAAUUCGUAGAUAUUCGCAAGAACACCAGUGGCGAAGGCGGCUCACUGGCCCGGUACUGACGCUGAGGUGCGAAAGCGUGGGAGCAACAGGG
rnacentral:rRNA from 1 species